GGCCCACGUCUUUCCGGCCCAUACCUUUCCGGCCCGCUUUUUUUUUGGGCCGUAAGUGUUGUUAUUUUCCGGCCCAUUUGAGUGAUGUUCCGGCCCAAACUAAAAAUAUUUUCAAAAAUAGAAAAAUUUUUAUAAGUGAUAGAUUAGUGGCGCUGCCAGUUACUUUUUUAAAACUCUUGAAUAGUAUUCUUGGCAACGCUGACAAAAGUGAGUGACAGACACCGUGGCGCUGCCAGUUACUUUUUAGCAGACAAAUUUUCACCCAUAGCACAUGUCGGCAACCUAUCGUAAAGAUGUCAUGUGUGACUUGUAAUAUUGCAUUUAGUGGACGUACCCCACAAAUAAUUAAGUGUGUUGAAUGCUUUGGCCAUGUACAUCGUUCAUGUUUGCCUGGAAAAGGUAUAACAUCAACCGAUUAUGUGAGAAUGAAAAAGUAUGGUGAAUCAUUUGAAUUUAAGUGCGUAAACUGCAGUUCUAAUACGCCUGGUGAUAGUCAUACAAGAAAUUCUUCU